UAUCACUUGAAUCAAGUUUAUACUUUUUUUAUAAUGUUAUUAUAUUUUAAUACCUUUAAUUUAUCUAUUUAUAUGUGGUGUGAGGAUUGAAGCCAGUGCCUCACAUGCUAGGUAAGUGCUAUACCAAUGAGCUGCGACCUUACCCCAACAAUUUGAUACUUUUGAAUCUUGGUGAUACUCCAGGAAAAACAUUACCAGCAAUGAGAUUUCUUCCAGAAACUCAGAGAAUACAAUGUGAAUUUAAUCUGGGCUCUGUUAAUUAUAUGUUUAUAAAACACUCUGCUGGGCAGGGCAGUGCCUCAGCUCACCUGUGCUAGGCGAGUAAGGCCCUGGGUUCGAUCUCCAGCAGCACAUAAAAAUAAAUAAAUAAAGAUAUUGUGUUCAACUACAACUAAAAAUAAAUAAAUAUUUUAAAAAAACACUCUGCUGGUGUUCUUUUCCUCAGGUAUUGUUUUUAACACAAAUGCAUACAUUCUAUGACCUGUGGUUCAACCACAAUUAUAUACUCUAAAUUUCAUGAGGAUUUACUGCUUUCAUUUAUUUAUUUAUUCAACAUUCCUAACAAAUGUUUAUUGAGAGCCUGUUUGGAGGUUCUAGCAGGGGAGGGCAGCUACUUGUAUAUCCUUGAUGGAACAACAGUCCUCCUCUACUGGGGAAGGUCAUCCUCUUCAACCAAGUGCUCAGCUUUGGGAGGGAUGCACCUGGAGUGGUGAGGGAGGAAGGGGACACAAGCCUAGCCAGCCAGCUAUGCUGAGUCAACCCUGGUGAUCAAUCAGGUAACAGAUGUCGCAGUCAGUUUGCCCUCACAUCCAGCAAAUAUUUUUUGAGUCCUUGCUUGAGGCAGACUUGAAUUCCACCUUCAUGAAAUUUACAUUUUAUUAUUACUUACUGAUUAUUUACUGCAUGCCACGGUUGCACUAAAUGUUCUUUUAGCAUCAUCUCAUUUAAACCUUAAAAGUCAGCACAAUGAGAUAUCUAGUUGUCACUAUUAGUUCUGUUAUUGUUUUAUACCCAAGAAAACAGAAGCUUAUCGAGAUGGUAACCAAACAUGAUUCUGAAUGAGGAAUCACUAUGUGUAGCUCAAAACUCAAAAAUAGUCUUUCCCCCCAAAAAAGUUUUAUUGAUCAAUUAUAGUUGUACAUAAUGGUAGGAUUUGUUGUGACACGUUAGUACAUGCACACAAUAUAACCACAUAAUUUGGCCCAUAUCAUUCCAAAAAUAGUCUGCCUUCAAUAGAGCAAUGGCAGUAUACACAGUACUGACCCCUGAGUUGUCAAAAAAAAAAUUUUAGGUGAUAUGUCUUGAAUAAACUGUUCAAAAAGGGUGUGAGUUGACAGAAGCUUUUCCUAUUCUUUGGGUUUCCCUUUUUCUUUUUACUGAAAGUUUUAAAAGACCAGUUAUCUGGAGCUAAUAUUGACCAUGAAGAAAAAGAUCUAAGGAAUUGAUUUCAACAAUUCAGACUGCCUGCCUCUGGAUGUUAUAUGAGAAUAAGAAAAUUGUUUUAUAUAAGAUACUGUUAUUAUAUUUUUUAUUACAUGCAGCUAAACCCAGUCCUUAAUUGACACUCCCCAAAAUCCAUAUUCUCUAUGUCCCCAUUGAAUGAUCUUCUAUAGUGUUCAUCAUUUAAAAAGCUAGCCCCUACUGCAGCGUGGUCUCCCAACACAUUAAGAAAAAAAUCCCAAAUCUCCUAGCCCAGUGUGAAUUGCAUUCUGCCCCACCUGUAUGCCUGUUACCCUGGAGGCUUUUCAGCCUUCUUUUUGUUUCUAGAACAUUCCAAGAAGACUCCUCAAGAUCUUUACAUCACCUACUUGCCCAGUAUGCUUCUAUAGAACCUAUGCAUAGGUUCUAUGCUUCUUUGAUAUACUGGCUCCUCUUUCUUGUUCAAAGCUUCCUGUCACCACUCCAGAAAGGUCUCCCCUAACCAUAACCUGUUCUGAGGAAGCCACCAGAAAUCUACUAUCAUUAAUAUAAUUUGGGACAAAUGCAAUGCAUUGCAGCUAAACUGAUGUGGAUUUAAUUUUCCUGCUGACUCUGGAAUUUAUUGCCUAUCUUCACAGGUAGCUGUGAGACAACUUCCACAAGAACUGGCUGGUAACCUGACAGAGCAACCUAUGUUAGAGGCUUCACUAGAACAUUCAUCCAGUAAACACCUUGAAGUAGAAUAUAAGGCACAGGUUUUGAAGAAGAAACUAGAUCAAAUCAAUUGUAAAGUAUGUAUUGAUUGUAUUUGUCAACCAUUGAUCUGCACCUGUUUCAAUUAUGUUAAAUGUUUAAGGAUAAAAACAUCAGUGGACA